AACGAACGCUGGCGGCAUGCCUAACACAUGCAAGUCGAACGAGACCUUCGGGUCUAGUGGCGCACGGGUGCGUAACGCGUGGGAACCUGCCCUUAGGCUCGGAAUAACUCCCCGAAAGGGGUGCUAAUACCGGAUAAUGUCUUCGGACCAAAGAUUUAUCGCCUUUGGAUGGGCCCGCGUUGGAUUAGCUAGUUGGUAGGGUAAAAGCCUACCAAGGCGACGAUCCAUAGCUGGUCUGAGAGGAUGAUCAGCCACACUGGGACUGAGACACGGCCCAGACCCCGAGGGGGGGCAGGAGGGGGGAAAAUUGGAAAAGGGGCGAAAGCCUGAUCCAGCAAUGCCGGGGGGGGGAUGAAGGCCUUAGGGUUGUAAAGCUCUUUUACCCGGGAUGAUAAGAACAGUCCCGGGGAAAAAAGCCCCGGCAAACCCCGU
rnacentral:rRNA from 1 species